rnacentral:rRNA from 1 species
UACGGAAGGUCCGGGCGUUAUCCGGAUUUAUUGGGUUUAAAGGGAGUGUAGGUGGCCAGGCAAGUCAGAAGUGAAAGCCCGGGGCUCAACCCCGGGACUGCUUUUGAAACUGUGGAGCUGGAGUGCAGGAGAGGCAAGUGGAAUUCCUAGUGUAGCGGUGAAAUGCGUAGAUAUUAGGAGGAACACCAGUGGCGAAGGCGGCUUGCUGGACUGUAACUGACACUGAGGCUCGAAAGCGUGGGGAGCAAACAGG